GGUCUCACUUUGUAGCCCAGGAUGGCCUGGAACUUGAAAUACUCCUGCCUCAGCCUCCUGAGUCCUGGGAU
rnacentral:miRNA from 1 species